rnacentral:rRNA from 1 species
CAGUCGAGGGGUUAAGUCUUCGGAUUUAGAGACCGGCGCACGGGUGCGUAACGCGUAUGCAAUCUACCUUUCACAGAGGGAUAGCCCAGAGAAAUUUGGAUUAAUACCUCAUAGUAUACUGAGUUGGCAUCAACAUAGUAUUAAAGUCACAACGGUGAAAGAUGAGCAUGCGUCCCAUUAGCUAGUUGGUAAGGUAACGGCUUACCAAGGCUACGAUGGGUAGGGGUCCUGAGAGGGAGAUCCCCCACACUGGUACUGAGACACGGACCAGACUCCUACGGGAGGCAGCAGUGAGGAAUAUUGGACAAUGGGCGCAAGCCUGAUCCAGCCAUGCUGCGUGCAGGAUGACGGUCCUAUGGAUUGUAAACUGCUUUUGCACAGGAAGAAACACUCCGACGUGUCGGAGCUUGACGGUACUGUGAGAAUAAGGAUCGGCUAACUCCGUGCCAGCAGCCGCGGUAAUACGGAGGAUCCAAGCGUUAUCCGGAAUCAUUGGGUUUAAAGGGUCCGUAGGCGGUCUAGUAAGUCAGUGGUGAAAGCCCAUCGCUCAACGGUGGAACGGCCAUUGAUACUGCUGGACUUGAAUUACUGGGAAGUAACUAGAAUAUGUAGUGUAGCGGUGAAAUGCUUAGAGAUUACAUGGAAUACC